rnacentral:ncRNA from 1 species
CUUGAAUCUACACCCCCUAACCUUCUAAAUCAUCGACCCAUAAACCAUAACCCUUAUAAAGACACAAUGUGAUUUAUUCACAUUGCUCUGCAUAUCAAAGUGAAGAAAUUCAACCAAACACGGGUAAACGACGAGAAUAACUAUGACUCUCUUAAUGUAUCCAUAUUCCUCAUCAUCUAAUUAGUGACACACAUGAAUGGAUCAUUAACUAGAUUCCCCAUUGUCCCUAUCUACUAUAUUCUAGAGAAACCACAUCUAAGGGAAUGGGCUUGGCAGAAUUAGUGGGAAAAGAAAACCCUAUUGAGCUUGUCUCUAGUCCUAACCCAUUCAUACUUUGGGAAAAUUAGGGCAUAGU